rnacentral:rRNA from 1 species
CACGUAGGGCGCAAGCGUUGUCCGGAAUUAUUGGGCGUAAAGAGCUCGUAGGCGGUCUGUUACGUCUGCUGUGAAAACCCGGGGCUUAACCCUGGGCUUGCAGUGGAUACGGGCAGACUAGAGGCAGGUAGGGAGAAUGGAAUUCCCGGUGUAGCGGUGAAAUGCGCAGAUAUCGGGAGGAACACCAAUUGCGAAGGCAGCUCGCUGGGACGUUACUGACGCUGAGACGCGAAAGCGUGGGGAGCAACAGG